rnacentral:rRNA from 1 species
GACGUAGGGGGCGAGCGUUGUCCGGAUUUACUGGGCGUAAAGGGCGCGUAGGCGGUCUGUUAAGUCAGGAGUGAAAUCUCCGGGCUCAACCCGGAAACUGCUUUUGAUACUGGCAGGCUAGAGUAGCGAAGAGGUGAUUGGAAUUCCCGGUGUAGCGGUGACAUGCAUUGAUAUCGGGAGGAACACCAGAUGCGAAGGCGGAUCACUGGUCGCUAACUGACGCUGAGGCGCGAAAGCGUGGGGAGCAAACAGA